UACAGAGGGGGCAAGCGUUGUUCGGAAUUACUGGGCGUAAAGGGCGCGUAGGCGGCCUUCUAAGUCAGACGUGAAAUCCCUCGGCUCAACCGGGGAACUGCGUCUGAGACUGGAAGGCUUGAAUCCGGGAGAGGGAUGUGGAAUUCCAGGUGUAGCGGUGAAAUGCUUAGAUAUGACAUAGAACACCGAUUGCGAAGGCAGCUUGCUACACGAUCAUUGACACUGAGGCACGAAAGCGUGGGGAUCAAACAGG
rnacentral:rRNA from 1 species